UAUUCUGCCCCACGGGGAAGGAUGAGAAGCUUCGACUAAGGUUCGACUCGAGCGAAGCGAGAGAACGUUGCCGCAGGCAACGGCCCGAAGGGCGA
rnacentral:sRNA from 1 species